rnacentral:tRNA from 1 species
GUGAAUGUAAUUUAAAUAAAAUAUUUGCUUUGCAAGUAAAUCUUCUAGGUUUAACUCCUAGCUUUUACA